rnacentral:misc_RNA from 1 species
GGUUAAUAAUCAUGCUUUCCGCUUCCUCCACCACCCCUUUGCGGAAGUAUGAUGUCUUUCUCAGUUUUAGUGGCCAAGACAUCCGCCGCAGUUUUGUUAGUCAUCUCCGCGAAGCCCUGUGUCAACACCAAAUCAAUACUUUCAUGGAUGAAACCCUUGAAAUAGGAGAAGAAAUCUCUCUUACCCUCCUCAUGAAAAAAAUUGAAGAAUCAAAUAUUUCAGUAGUUAUUUUCUCCAAAAGCUAUGUUUAUUCUCAUUGGUGUUUGGACGAACUCGUAAAAAUACUCGAAUGCAAGGAUUCCAUGCAGCAAAUAGUUUUGCCAAUUUUUUACCACGUGGAUCCCGAAGAUUUUCAAGAGCUCAAAGGAAGUAUUGGGGAUGCACUUGCUAAGUAUAAAGAAGACUUCAUGAACAGUUCCGACAAGGUUGAGAGAUGGAGCCAUGCGUUGAUGGAAAUAGCCAAGGUAACAGGGUGGGAUUCAAAGAACAUCAAGCCUGAGUCCAAAUUGAUUAAGUUAAUUGUCAACGACAUUUGGAAGAAACUGAAUCAAAUGACCAUAAAUGAUUUUGAUCAUGGCUUAGUUUGAAUUGAUUCGCGCAUCAAAGAAGUUGAGUCAUUAUUAUGCAUUGGAUUAGAAGACGUACCUUCCAUAGGAAUUUGGGGAAUUGGUGGUGAGGUAAAACAACCAUUGCUGUGGUUUUUACGCAAUCAAAUCUCUGCUUAAUUUGAGAGUCAAUGCUUUGUUGCAAAUGUAAGGGAAGAAUUAGAAAAGCGCCCCACAGUUCAUUUACGAGAUGAAAUCCUUUCCAAAGUGUUGCGGGCAGAUAUAAAGAUUGGCACACCUAAUGUUUUACCAUCUUUCAUUAAGAACAUGCUUUUGAAGAAGAGGUUUCUUAUUGUUCUUGAUGAUGUGAGCAGUCCCCUGCAGUUAAAAUCUUUGCUGGAAGAGCAUGAUUCAAAAGGCUUGGGGAGCAGAAUUAUUAUAGCAAGUAGAAAUAAGCAAGUGCUUAGGUACGGAUGCACCAAAAUUUAUGAGGUUAAGGAGCUGCUUCACCAUGAAGCUUUUCAGCUCUUUCAAUUUCAUGCAUUCAGGCAAAAUCAACCCUCAGAAGCAGAUGUGGAUUUGUUACACAGGGCUAUAAACUAUGCUAAAGGCAUUCCAUUAGCUCUUAUCUUGUUAGGUUCCAACCUAUGUGACAAGCAUAUUGAAGAAUGGGAAAGUGAAUUGGUAAAGUUAGAAGGCACUCCCAAUAAGGAUAUUAAAACAUUCUGAGAAUUAGUUAUGUUGGACUAGAUCAGAAUGAAAAGAAUAUAUUUCUCGGUGUUGUGUGUUUCUUUAAAAGGGAAGACAAUGGUCGGGUUAUAUAUAUAUUAGAUAGCUUUGGUUUCUCUGCAAAAAGUGGAAUAAGUCAUCUCAAGGAUAAGUCUCUUGUAAAUAUUUCAGAAAACAAGUUAGAGAUGCAUGAUUUGCUACAGCAAAUGGGCAAGGAUAUUGUUGACCAAGAAUGUAUAAAACAACCAGGAAAGCGUAGCAGGCUGUGGAACUACAAGGAUAUCUACCAUGCAUUAACCAAGGAUAAGGUGAGAACCAUUUUCAAACUGGAUUUUUAAAGAUUUGCACUAGGAAGUAGAUGCUUAUUUCAUUAUAUAUGUGCGUGCAUGUGUUGUAUAUCGUGCAUGGAACUAAGUCGAAGGCAUGAUUCUGAACAUGUCCCAAAUUAAAGAUGUGGAACUAAGUUCUACAGUCUUCAUGAAAAUGGAAAAUCUUAGAUUCCUGAAAUUCUACAAUCCUUGCUCUGCAAAAAUCGAAGUGCAUUUUCCUAAAGGCCUCAAAUUGCUUCCUGAUGGGCUAAGUUUUCUUCAGUGGGAUGAAUACCUCUAAAGUUUUUUCCAUCAAAAUUUUCCCCCAAGAAUCUCAUUGAAUUUCACAUGCGUAAAAGCCAACUCAAACUACUUCGGAGUGAAGAUCAGAUUGCUGAAGAUUUACAAUUUAUGGACCUCAGCCAUUCUAUGAACCUAAUUAAAACACCAGAGUUGUCUAAAUUCCCAAAACUUGAGGUUUUGCAUUUGAAGGAUUGUACAAGUUUGGUUGGGAUUUCCACGUCUUUAAAGUAAGACAGCAAGCUUAACGAUUUAAAUCUUGAAAACUGCAGAAGUUUUUGUCAUUUUCCAAGCUGCCUUUAUUUAAGAAACCUCGAAAAUGUUACUUUGAAAGGUUGCUCAAAAUUGGCGAGUCUUCCAGGCAGCACUGGCGAGUUGAAAUCUCUUCAGUAUCUUGAUCUCCAAGGAUGCUCAAACCUAGCAAGUCUUCCGGAUGCCAUUGGCGAGUUCAAAUAUCUUCAGCAUCUUGAUCUCGGGGGAUGCUCGAAACUAGGAAGCCUUCCAAGCAGCAUUUGUGAGUUGAAAUGUCUCCGUCAUCUUUAUCUUAAGGAAUGCUCAAAACUAGUAAGUCUUCCGAUUAGCAUCGGAGAGUUGACAUGUCUUAAGCAUCUUGAUCUCAAGGGAUGCUCAAAGCUAGGACACCUUCCAAUCAGCAUUGGCAAGUUGAAAUAUGAGAAUGUUUAUCUGAAUGGAUGUUCAAAACUAACGAGUCUUCCAGGCAGCAUUUGCAAUCUUAAGUCUCUUACCCGCCAAGAUGUCACGGAUUGCGUAAAUCUCAAGGGAUUGCCAGAGAACUUGGGCAAUUUAAAAUCUUUGACGGCGCUUUACGCAGUUAGAAGUGGCAUAAAAGAAUUGCCAUGCUCCAUCAAUCAAUUAAGGGAAUUGAGGGAUUUAAGAUGCAGUGGAUGUAAGGGUUUGGUGUUGCCUCCAUUAACAGGUCUUUCGAGUCUAGAGCAGAUUUCUCUAGAGGGAUGUGGUAUAUUAGAAAUUCCUGACAGUCUCGGCUCUUUAUCAUCACUGCAUCGGUUAUUUUUAGGAGGAAACAAAUUCAAGAGUAUACCAGAGCUUCCUUCAGCUGUGAGAUAUUUAGUGGCGAGCAACUGCACAUCCAUGAAAUCAGUAUCAACUUCGUUGGCGGAAGGUUGUAAGGAUACGCUUUUGUGGCUGGAUCUCGGUGAUUGCAUCAAUUUGGAUCCAAAUGCACGUAGCAAAUUAAUGGAUUCUAUACUGCUGAGAUUCCAAAGCAUUGAACGGCCAUGGGAAUCCUGUGUGAUUGGCCAGGUCUCUCUCUUUCUCUCUCUGUGCGUGUCUUGUGUUAUUACAAAAAGAAAUUUCCUGGUAAAUGUAUAAAACAUUGUGAAUUUCAUUGUACAUAGCAAUGGAGCAUUGUUUCGAUGGAUGGAUAAGGCAUGUAUCCCAGGAAGCCAAGUUCCAUCAAGGAUGAGGUACAAAAAUAACAACGGAUCUUCUUUGAAUUUAUCGAUGAGAGCUGAGCCAUACUGCUACACUAGUGACUGCAUUCACAUCGCUUUUUGUGCUGUUGUUGCAACCCAUGUUUAUAGUUCUCGUGAUUUCAUUGAUAUUGGAUGUGAAUGCUGCUUCACAACCGAGUCAGGCCAAACCCUUCAUUUCGAAUCCUC